GAGUUCCCGUAGCAGCAUCGAGGUGUUCCUGAGAUAAAGAAGGCUGUUGAGAAGAAUCGGACCGUGUUGCGUUUUUCUUGCUGGACGAGGGUUGAGGAGCAAAGCAGAGUCCCUUGACAUACACACCAAGGUACAGGACUGGCUCCUGGGUGACAGAACCAGGUCUGCAACUAGGGGAAGGCACCUGGGAGGAAACAAGGACCUGGAAGAUUUGCCAUCCUGUUAUCCCCAUGGUGACUCCUGGGCUCCAGACAGGAUCUUGCUAUAUAGUGCAGCUGUGUACAUCAGACCUGCCUCUUGUCUUCCAUGUGCUGGGAUCAAAGGUGGGCGCAACAUCUGGUGGCCUGUACAGGGCCCAAGGACAACGACCUUGUGGAUUCAGAACUCUUCAGCUGAGGAACGGUGGUACCGGAACAAGAAAAUCCAAUCUGGGUACCAGAGCGAUUGACAUGAAAGCUGCCUACAACUUCUAUCCCGUCCUCCCCCACCCCCCCACCGAAGAUGAAACUAUGGAUCCUGUGGCUGGGAAUGCUCCCGCUAGUGAGAAAUGAAGAGCUACGUUGGGGAAUUAUGUCUGUGUUCCUGAAACCCAUGCCAUUGACGCAUUCAAGUGUUUCCUCAAUUCUUUACAUCUAAUGCUUCACUACAAUUGCCUUUUUUCUAUGCUGCUUCAGCUAAAGGGAUUGUUGUGUUUUCAGAUGAUUCAAAAUAUUUCACAGAUGAAUGAUUGUGUUCAGCUGUAUCUACUAAAGCUAAUGCUACCUGG
rnacentral:lncRNA from 1 species